rnacentral:rRNA from 1 species
GACGAACGCUGGCGGCGUGCCUAACACAUGCAAGUCGAACGGAAAGGCCCUGCUUUUGUGGGGUGCUCGCGUGGCGAACGGGUGAGUAACCCGUGAGUAACCUGCCCUUGACUUUGGGAUAUCUUCAGGAAACUGCGGCUAAUACCGGAUAGGAGCUCCUGCUGCAUGGUGGGGGUUGGAAAGCUUCGGCGGUUGUGGAUGUACUCGCGGCUUAUCAGCUUGUUGGUGGGGUAGUGGCUUACCAAGGCUUUGACGGGUAGCCGGCCUGAGAGGGUGACCGGCCACAUGGGGACUGAGAUACGGCCCAGACUCCUACGGGAGGCAGCAGUGGGGAAUAUUGCACAAUGGGCGGGAGCCUGAUGCAGCAACGCCGCGUGCGGAAUGACGGCCUUCGGGUUGUAAACCGCUUUCGGCUGUGACGAAGCGUGUGUGACGGUAAUGGGUGAAGAAGCACCGGCUAACUACGUG